rnacentral:rRNA from 1 species
CUCCUUUUUCAAAUCAGUGAAAUUAAUCUCCCCGUGAAGAAGCGGGGAUACUCAUAUAAGACGAGAAGACCCCAUGGAGCUUCAAACCCAACUACACCCCUAGCUCUUAUAGCCCCACAACCCCCCCCUAGGCGCCGUGUGCUUGGUUUUAGGUUGGGGCGACCGCGGAGUACAAUAAAACCUCCACAAUGAACGGGAACACCCCCUUAUCUGAGGGCCACACCCCCUAAGAAUUAGAACACUAACAUAAAAUGAUCCAUUACUUGAUCAAUGAACCAAGUUACCCUGGGGAUAACAGCGCAAUCCAUUUCAAGAGCCCCUAUCGACAAAUGGGUUUACGACCUCGAUGUUGGAUCAGGGUACCCCAGUGGUGCAGCAGCUACUAACGGUUCGUUUGUUCAACGAUUAAAACCCU